rnacentral:misc_RNA from 1 species
GGAAGUAAAAGUCGUAAUAAGGUUUCCGUAGGUGAACCUGCGGAAGGAUCAUUAUUGUAUAACCGAGGUGCGAGGGCUGUCGCUGACCCGAAAGGUCGUGCACGCCCGAGUGCCCUCACACACAUCCAUCUCACCCCUAUGUGCACCACCGCGUGGGUCCCCCUUUGGCUUGUUCGGAGGGGGGCUUACGUUUUCACACAAACUUUGUAUGCAGUGUAGAAUGUAUUUUUUGUUUUUGCGAUCACGCAAUCAAUACAACUUUCGACAACGGAUCUCUUGGCUCUC